AGCCUGUUGGUGCUUAAAAGAAAAAACAACGUCGUAUUGCUGCUCCCGUGGUAAUAUGCAGUCUCUUGGGAACAGCAUUUGCGGCAAACAAGCAGUCACGUGAAAGAAGUAAACAGCUGCACUAUUUUCACAUUGUAUUGUUUGAACUCAAGCACACUUGCUAAUAUAUAACUGCGCCAGAUAAAAAAAUUAAGCAAAAUGUUACAUCAUAACCACGAGCAAGAAAUCAACGAUAAGUUUGAACCACCGUUGAUCAUGUCGUCGCUGGGAGUGCAAACUCAGCAAGAAGUCGUUGUGAUUCUGCUGCUUUCUGCUUUUGCUCUCAUCUUUAUGAAACUCUUCUCUUAAAUAUAUUGAAUGCAUUGGGCAGAUUGACUCUUUUAGUCUCAGUUUCUAAAUUGCAUGUUGUUAUGUUUUGUUUUAUAUACCUGUGCUAAAGUACUUUGAUGUGCUACCGAUUCGUUAUAUAUUUUAAACCACAGUUGAUGUAGUAAAAUACAUGAAACGCA